UGAUUUCUUUCCAGCUUUUCAUGAGUUCAACUAUUGGAAAGAUUGGGCACCUUAUGUGUAUUUGUACAGGCAACAUUGCCAUUGCACCUACGAACUGAACGUUCACUUCGUUUAAACCAAUCAAGUAAUUAUUGUAGAAUGGCCUUGACACUGUCUGCAGUAGUUAUAGCAAAAUAAUAUCAAAUAUAUAGUAGAGCAAAUAGGGAAUUGUAGAAUUGUGUCAACAAACCACUUUGUAAUAUGUGUUCCGAUUGUAGAUGAACUCAAAUCUUGGGAUGUUUUGUUCCACUGGAAGUGGUGGUUGUGGUGGAAGUAGUGGUUCUGAUGGUGGAGGUAGU
rnacentral:lncRNA from 1 species